AGUCGCCUUAGCUUCUCUCCAACUGCAUUUCUCUCUUUGGACGUUUGGAUCUCAGCAAAACCUAGCUUUUCCUCGGAUAUUGACUUCAUGGCGCCUUCUCCCGGAGGUUUGCUUUUUGUGGUUAGAGAGUCUUAUGGCAUGAGUGGAGUCGGAAAAGGUAUGUGGUUUACAUAUUUGAUUUUAAUGUGGAUUCACUUGAAGCUUGAUUUUGACGUUGUAAUUAAGCAUGCCCAAGUGUAAAAAAUUGCCAAGCACAUGCCUUUGCAUAAUGGUUUAGUCUGUUAUUUUUUUCCUUUUAGAUAUGACAUUUCAUGACUAUGGUGUUUUGUAUAGACCUUAAAAUGAAUUAUGUGUUAAGCAA